GCUUGCUUCAGCAGUGCAUAUACUAAAGUUGGAAUGAUACGGAGAAGAUUAGCAUGGUGCCUGUGCAAGGAUGACAGGCAAAUUCAUGAAGUGUUCAUAAUUUUU